CUGUGUUUGUUUGAGAAUGUUUUCAGAACUGUCAGCAUGGAAACAGACCAUGGUUUGUUUACUCCUAACAACGGACAAGCUGAACAUGGAAUCAUUGAUCAGUUCUUCCUCAAGUGACAGAUUCAUUUUUCAAGUACAGCACUAGAGAAUGCAGUGGAAUGCAAACAAGCAAACUAGUAAACGUCCCUUUACGGCUACAUACACGGAUGUUCCUAUGUGCAAGCACCGAAUGUAUGUGAGCUAAUGUGUGUGCUGUGUCCCUUUGUUUGUGUCCUAGUGCGUGCAUGCAUGUGUGUGCAUGUGUGUGGUUGUGCGCGCUCUUAAAGGUGGUUGAGCGUGCACUUGUCCCUGCACUUGUGUGUAUAUUAUUGUGUGCUUUUUUCAAUCAUCAUCUUGAAUCAACUGUAAGCGCAGAUGUGCUGUGACCUGACUAAGAUCAGAUAAAGUGCCCCCCCCCCUCCUACCCUCCUCCCCCCAGCUCCAUUUGUCAUGGGCCAGCUGUCGGGCUGCUGUGAUUGGUUGUUGUGGGAGACAGAUAGCCGAUAGGCUCUGAUUAACAGUAGUGGCUCUGGAACUUACUCAUUGAUCAAGAAGACAGGGGAGGAGGAGGGAGAGGACAGGAGAGGAGGAGGGAGAGGACAGGAGAGGAGGAGGGAGAGGACAGGAGAGGAGGAGGGAGAGAACAGGAGAGGAGGAGGGAGAGGACAGGAGAGGAGGAGGGAGAGGACAGGAGAGGAGGAGGGAGAGAACAGGAGAGGAGGAGGGAGAGAACAGGAGAGAACAGGAAAGGACAGGAGAGGAGGAGGGAGAGAACAGGAGAGGAGGAGGGAGAGAACAGGAGAGGAGGAGGGAGAGGACAGGAGAGGAGGAGGGAGAGGACAGGAGAGGAGGAGGGAGAGAAGAGGAGAGGAGGGAGGGAGAGGACAGGAGAGGAGGAGGGAGAGGACAGGAGAGGAGGAGGGAGAGAACAGGAGAGGAGGGAGGGAGGGAGAGGACAGGAGAGGAGGGAGGGAGAGGACAGGAGAGGAGGAGGGAGAGGACAGGAGAGGAGGAGGGAGAGGACAGGAGAGAACAGGAAAGGACAGGAGAGGAGGAGGGAGAGAACAGGAGAGGAGGGAGGGAGAGGACAGGAGAGGGGGAGGGAGAGGGGAGAGGACAGGAGAGGAG
rnacentral:lncRNA from 1 species